rnacentral:rRNA from 1 species
CCUACGGGCGGCAGCAGUGAGGAAUAUUGGUCAAUGGACGCAAGUCUGAACCAGCCAUGCCGCGUGCAGGAAGACUGCCCUAUGGGUUGUAAACUUCUUUUGUACAAGGAUAAACUCAGAUACGCGUAUCUUUCUGAAAGUAUCUUACGAAUAAGGAUCGGCUAACUCCGUGCCAGCAGCCGCGGUAAUACGGAGGAUUCAAGCGUUAUCCGGAUUUAUUGGGUUUAAAGGGUGCGUAGGCGGUCGGAUAAGUUAGAGGUGAAAUCCCGAGGCUCAACUUCGGAAUUGCAUUUGAUACUGUUCGGCUAGAGAGCAGUUGCGGUAGGCGGAAUGUAUGGUGUAGCGGUGAAAUGCUUAGAGAUCAUAAAGAACACCGAUUGCGAAGGCAGCUUACCAAGCUACCUCUGACGUUGAGGCACGAAAGCGUGGGGAGCAAACAGGAUUAGAUACCCGUGUAGUC